AUGAGAAUCUUACGGAAUCUCAGAUUAGCUCAUCAAUCUUUCAUUGCCCUAAAUUCAAACCCUUUUCGCAGUCGAUGCAUGUAUUUUCGAUCGCUAGUCUCAUCUUCAUCUAAUUUCCAUGUUUCUGAUUCUUCAUGCACUUCUAAUUACAGAAAUUUACCUCACAAUUAUUUGAAUUCCAAGCCAUGGGCGCCAUUUCUAGGUCAAAGGAGGACGAUGUUUAUUCAAACGCAGCCGACUCCAAAUCCGGCAUCCUUGAUGUUUUAUCCGGGCAAGCCAGUAAUGGAAAUCGGGAGUUCGGACUUUCCGAAUGCUCGUACUGCCAUGAAUUCACCUUUAGCAAAAGCACUUUUUGGGAUUGAUGGAGUUACACGAGUCUUCUUUGGAUCAGACUUCGUAACAGUAACAAAGUCUGAUGAUAUUACAUGGGAUAUUCUGAAACCGGAGAUAUUUGCUGCAAUCAUGGAUUUCUAUACAUCUGGUCAGCCAUUAUUUCUGGAUGAAAGCACUGCAGCUUCCAAGGACACAGCUAUCCAUGAAGAUGAUUCGGAAAUUGUUGCUAUGAUAAAAGAGCUAUUGGAGACUCGCAUACGGCCUGCAGUGCAGGAUGAUGGUGGUGACAUUGUGUAUAAAGGAUUUGAUCCGGAAACUGGAAUAGUCAAACUGCAGAUGCAGGGAGCAUGCAGUGGCUGUCCUAGUUCGUCUGUGACUUUAAAAUCUGGCAUUGAGAACAUGCUAAUGCACUAUGUGCCUGAGGUGAAGGGGGUGGAACAAGAGUUGGAUGAUGAGGAAGAAGAGGCUGUUGCAUUGGAAUAGAGCUUCUUGAUAUUUCAUUUAUCCAAACCCUUGAAAUGAUGGGAAUUGAGGGUCAAUGGAUUUGUAUCAAUCUGUAAACAAGGGAUAUCUUUUCUGUUGAUUGAGUUCAAAAGCUACACAGCAGCUCAAAAGUUUUGUAGGACAUGCAGCAGUGAGCAAUAUGAAAUGGUUGCGUACGUGCCUGCUUUCUUGCUUUACAUUAAUACUACUAUCAAAUGCUGGACAUUCUUCACUCUUGGUACUGCUGUCAAAAUAAUAAGCGAUAUCUACUGCUAAGACUUAUGAUACGAUGAUAUCUUAUGUUUUUCAUGUACUGUAAAUCUGUAAUACUUAUGUUUUUUUGAGGGGUUUACCAUAAUCAAUGGACCAAGGUUAAUCUUAAAGCUGCCAUCAAAUGGACUUCAAAAUAUCGAUUUUCGAUGGUUUUUGGUUACAUUAGGCAUAGUUUAGAUCGAAGGUGUAAGUUUCUUUACUUUUAUUAGUUUAGUACUUUAGUAUGCUAGGGUUUAAUUAAGUUUGUUUCUUGGCUUCUGUCACAAAAAAAAAAAAAAAAAAAAUGUUUCUUGGGAAAACUUGUUAGCCUUGGUUCUCUUCAUAGUCAAGGGAUUACUUUUCGUUGUU